rnacentral:sRNA from 1 species
GCUGGGCAUGGUGACCUGUGCCUGUAAUCCCACUGACUUGGGAAGCUGAGGCAGGAGGAUGGCAAAUUUGAGGCUAUCCUGGGCAACUUAGAUCCUGUCUCAG